GAAAGGAAGAAAGAAAAGUGACGAUCGUUCGAUUCACCGCGGUUUUGCCGUUUCUCGUCCAAAUCGCCAGUUCUUUAUAUCGAUUCGUUCGGAAUUUGAUUCUCUAUCAACUACGGGCAUCAAACUAAGAAACAUGUCAGAAUGAGUUAGGGAUGUCGGGAGCAUGUCGAGAUGAUGUUUGGGCCUGUUUAGGGGUGUCGCACGACGUGCGACAUAAUUUCGUAACGCGAUCAAACUUAAAAUCGACAUAACGCCUUCGUUCGGACUCGGAAUUGAGCGAUUCUCGCGGCCACGGAACGAGGAAAGGAUCCUCUAUCAUUUUUCAGCCUCAAAUCAAGAUGUGACGGACUAUCGAGCUACGAGUAUGACGAACCAAGAAGCUCGACGAGGAUUGACGGAUCAGUCUCCUGGAGCUUACGUUCGGAUAUAAGGAAUAGCGGUCACAGUAUUAGAAGUCGGAUCAGACAAGCCAUCUCCAUUGUGCCAAAAGUCAUUGGACUUGCACAAGUAUGAGUUCCUAAAGCUGCAGUAGUCAGUAGGUGUCAGUAUAAGGAUAGCGAUUUAAUUUCAAAUAGUUUAUUUUGAAUGUAAACUCUAAUAUAAUACUUUGAUAUCUAUAAGUAUGUUAUCUAAAAGAGUUUUCUGAAAAUAUUCUAUAUAUAUAUAAUAAUAUGUUUUUAAAUGCGAAAAAUUAUUAGUGGUUUUAGGCUUGCUACGGGUUUUGGAGCUACCACUCCCAUUCCCUAGCGCCGGUCUCGGCUCAAUAAUUUGGGUCGUG